rfam:Gossypium arboreum cultivar AKA8401 contig_124911_1, whole genome shotgun sequence.
AUCACAUGAUAAGAACACUGACAAAGUAACUCCUUGAAUCGCUUCCAAGCCUCAUACAAAGAAUCGUCAUCCAAUUGUUGGAAAGUUGUGAUCUCGUUCCUCAAAUU